UUCCGCUUUACCAAGAGCAGUUUCUGCCGAACACACGUAACCGCCAAAGUCCUUUUUCUCAAGAGAAUGGACCGUAAGAUUCAUUUGCCAAGCGUAGUCGCUCAACGUCGUCUCUGCCAUCAUGUACUUGUCGUUUGGGUUGGCAAAGAGGGAGGGGGAGUCUUACAUCAUUGCGAAUGUUGAUUGAUUUUUCUUUAACAAUGAGGAAAAAUUAAUUUCAGCGAUGCAGAAAAUGGUUUGAAAUUUUUCGAAUCAUCCCUUGGCUAUGCGCAAGUAUGAUCAAACCUGAAGAACCGGAAGUGGAACGUGGUCUGGUAUUCCCGAGGCAUUCCGCAGUGUUCAUGGCUCGCGGAGAAGCUUCGACGUAACAUUGAAGCACCACGUCUCUGUCAACGGGGGCGGCGACUAGCUGGUUAGUGACCUUGAUCAGAGGUGGAACUUGAAGAAUAGAAAAAAUACGAGGAUAAUGAAUUUUUGUUUGCUGGAAAAUAUUUCGAGUACCCCGUUGCUGGCGAUGCAGAGAUAAAAGCCCAUUUCCUGACGGAGGACGCCAACCAACUCCAGUGUCUUACCUUCGUACACCUUGACCGCUGCGUUGGAGGGGACAAUUGAAAACGUUAUUUAUUCUGAUUCAAC